UACGUAGGGUGCGAGCGUUAAUCGGAAUUACUGGGCGUAAAGCGUGCGCCGGCGGCUUCGCAAGUCAGACGUGAAAUCCCCGGGCUUAACCUGGGAAUGGCGUUUGAAACUACGGAGCUGGAGUGUGGCAGAGGGAGGUAGAAUUCCACGUGUAGCGGUGAAAUGCGUAGAUAUGUGGAGGAAUACCGAUGGCGAAGGCAGCCUCCUGGGCCAACACUGACGCUCAUGCACGAAAGCGUGGGGAGCAAACAGG
rnacentral:rRNA from 1 species